GAUGAACGCUAGCGGCAGGCUUAACACAUGCAAGUCGAGCGGUAGAGAGGUGCUUGCAUCUCUUGAGAGCGGCGGACGGGUGAGUAAUGCCUAGGAAUCUGCCUAGUGGUGGGGGAUAACGUUCGGAAACGGACGCUAAUACCGCAUACGUCCUACGGGAGAAAGCGGGGGAGUCUUCGGACCUCGCGCCAUUAGAUGAGCCUAGGUCGGAUUAGCUAGUUGGUGAGGUAAUGGCUCACCAAGGCGACGAUCCGUAACUGGUCUGAGAGGAUGAUCAGUCACACUGGAACUGAGACACGGUCCAGACUCCUACGGGAGGCAGCAGUGGGGAAUAUUGGGACAAUGGGCGGAAAGACCCUGAUCCAGCCAUGCCGCGUGUGUGAAG
rnacentral:rRNA from 1 species